rnacentral:misc_RNA from 1 species
GUUCAUUUCCUCCUGCUCCCCUCUCCUCCCUUCCCCCCCUCCUCGCCGCUCGCCGUUGAAGAGGUAGGCCCACGGGCCGGCGAGAAUGGAGGCGGCGACGAUGGUGUGGACGGCGGCGGUGGUCGGGGCGGGGCUGGUGUACUGGUUCGUCUGGGUGAUGGGCGCGGCGGAGGUGAAGGGCAAGCGGGCGGUGGAUCUCAAGAUGGGAUCCAUCACGCGGGACAAGGUGCAGGACAAGUACACGCAGUACUGGUCCUUCUUCCGCCGCCCCAAGGAGACGGCCACCACGGCGGCGUCGGCGGAGAAGGUGCCGGCCUUCGUCGACACCUUCUACAACCUCGUGACCGACAUCUACGAGUGGGGGUGGGGCCAGUCCUUCCACUUCUCCCCGUCCCUCCCCGGCCGCUCCCACCGCGACGCCACGCGCGUCCACGAGGAGCGCGUCGCCGACCUCCUCGGCGCCAGGCCGGGCCACCGCCUCCUGGACGUCGGCUGCGGCGUCGGCGGGCCCAUGCGCGCCAUCGCCGCGCACUCGGGAUCCAACGUCGUCGGCAUCACCAUCAACGAGUACCAGGUGAACCGCGCCCGCGCGCACAACCGCAAGGCCGGCCUCGACUCCCCGCGCUGCGAGGUCGUCUGCGGCAACUUCCUCUCCAUGCCGUUCCCGGACGCCUCCUUCGACGGCGCCUACUCCAUCGAGGCCACCUGCCACGCGCCCAGGCUGCAGGACGUGUACGGCGAGGUCUACCGCGUGCUCAAGCCGGGGGGACUCUACGUCUCCUACGAGUGGGUCACCACCCCGCUGUACCGCGCCGAGGACCCGGACCACGUCGAGUGCAUCCACGGCAUCGAGCGCGGCGACGCGCUCCCGGGGCUCCGCCGCCAGGACGAGAUCGCGUCCAUCGCCAAGGAGGUCGGCUUCGAGGUGCUCAAGGAGCAGGACCUUGCGCUGCCCCCCGCGCUGCCCUGGUGGACGCGCCUCAAGAUGGGCCGCAUCGCCUACUGGCGCAACUCCCUCGUCGUCCGCGUGCUCACCAUGCUCCGGGUCGCGCCCAAGGGCGUCUCCGAGGUGCACGAGAUGCUCUACGAGACCGCGCAGCACCUCACCCGCGGCGGCGAGACCGGCAUCUUCACGCCCAUGCACAUGGUGCUCCUCCGCAAGCCCGCCGCCGCCGCCUCCACCGAGGAGGCCAACUAGUGUAAGACUACACACCGCCACCAAUCAGUUACUACUCGCCCACCGCAAGGGGGAGAAAAUGGGGAGGGAGGAAAAAGAUGCAAGCAGCAGCAGCACCAGAGGUAAGAAGAGCAGGCUAAUCGGCGACUUGAAGAAGUUACAAAUUGAUCUAUUAGAGAAGAAGAUACUACUAGGAACGAUGCUUCUCUCCGUUUACUCUUUUCCCUGUUCGUAGCUUUGAGUUUUAAUUUUUGUUUUUUGGUGGACGGAUUGUUCCGGGGAGGUC